AAUCGUUGUUUGAGAAGGUUUCGUUCGAUCGACUUCUCUUCUGUCCCUCUGUGGUUCCAGAGGUCCUGACUCGUACCGCCGCUUCCCUGUUUCAUCUAGACACGGAGGUUACGUUCCCAGAAGGCCGGUCGUCUCUCGGCGCAUGUGCCUCCCGGUCCUCGGCGGCGGCGGCGGAUGACGUCCAUCAUUUCCCAACAGCUGCUUCUGGCGACACAGCUCGUUGCCGUCGUUGAGAGUGGAUGGUUCUGUCGGCAUGUUUGAGCUACUACGUUCACGACGACCACCAUUUGGCUGUCGGUUCCCGAAUAGUUCCACCACUUACCACACGCACGCCUUCUUCUUAGUACACUUAUUUAUAGUCAAGCAGGAUCAAUAGACAGUUUAGAUGCUAAGACACCAGCUUCUUUGGAGAGAUGUAGACCUAACAUAUCGAACACUUUCACCAGCACAUCUGUUCAUCGUAAAGUAAGCAAGUCCGUACGAGAAGUAACUAUAGACAUAGAGACAAUAAUACAACCACUUAAACAUGCCAUAUAGUAUG
rnacentral:rRNA from 1 species